AUGGUAGGAUAGAGGCCUACCAUGGUGGUAACGGGUAACGGGGUGUUAGGGCACGACACCGGAGAGGGAGCCUGAGAAACGGCUACCACAUCCAAGGAAGGCAGCAGGCGCGCAAAUUACCCAAUCCCGACACGGGGAGGUAGUGGCAAUAAAUAACAAUACGGGGUUCUUUGAAUCUUGUAAUUGGAAUGAGUACAAUUUAAAUCUCUUAACGAGGAACAAUUGGAGGGCAAGUCUGGUGCCAGCAGCCGCGGUAAUUCCAGCUCCAAUAGCGUAUAUUAAAGUUGUUGCAGUUAAAAAGCUCGUAGUUGAAUUUCGGGAUCAAUACGUCGGUCGUGCUUUCGGGUACGUACUGGCGUCAUUGGUUUCUCCUUUCUGACGAACCAUGAUGUCAUUAAUUUGGUGUUAUGGGGAGUUAGGACUGUUACUUUGAAAAAAUUAGAGUGUUUAAAGCAGGCAUUAGCUUGAAUACAUUAGCAUGGAAUAAUGAAAUAGGACGUUCGAUCCUAUUUUGUUGGUUUCUAGGAUCAACGUAAUGAUUAAUAGGGAUAGUUGGGGGCAUUAGUAUUCAAUUGUCAGAGGUGAAAUUCUUGGAUUUAUUGAAGACUAACUACUGCGAAAGCAUUUGCCAAGGAUGUUUUCAUUAAUCAAGAACGAAAGUUAGGGGAUCGAAGACGAUCAGAUACCGUCGUAGUCUUAACCAUAAACUAUGCCGACUAGGGAUCGGAUGAUGUUAAUUUUUUAAUGACUCAUUCGGCGCCUUACGGGAAACCAAAGU
rnacentral:rRNA from 1 species